GAUGAACGCUGGCGGCGUGCUUAACACAUGCCAGUCGAACGGAAAGGCUCCUGCUUGCAGGGGUACUCGAGUGGCGAACGGGUGAGUAACACGUGGGUGAUCUGCCCUGCACUUCGGGAUAAGCCUGGGAGACUGGGUCUAAUACCGGAUAGGACCACAUUUUGGAUGGUGUGGUGGAAAGUUUUUCGGUGUGGGAUGAGCUCGCGGCCUAUCAGCUUGUUGGUGGGGUAAUGGCCUACCAAGGCGUCGACGGGUAGCCGGCCUGAGAGGGUGUACGGCCACAUUGGGACUGAGAUACGGCCCAGACUCCUACGGGAGGCAGCAGUGGGGAAUAUUGCACAAUGGGCGCAAGCCUGAUGCAGCGACGCCGCGUGGGGGAUGACGGCCUUCGGGUUGUAAACUCCUUUCGCUAGGGACGAAGCGCAAGUGACGGUACCUGGAGAAGAAGCACCGGCUAACUACGUG
rnacentral:rRNA from 1 species